rnacentral:lncRNA from 1 species
ACGCCGACUUGAAACUAACGAAGUUGACUUUAGUUGUAAAAAAAAAAAAGUAGAAGAUAGCAAAGAAAAAAAAUGGGUACAUGCAAUAUAUAAAAAAUCUGAACUGUUAAGUGAACUAAAAAAUUUGAAGUGCACUGUAAUUACCCGCCGCAAUUGGGUCUCGGGAUUUUUCAAAGAUUUUCCCGAAAAAGAUAGGGAGCUGGGUGAUUUUAUUCGUGAUAAAUUACUCGGCAAUCCGACAGAUAUACGAGACAUAAAAAAAUAUCCGGAAUUAGAAAUACAGUAUGAAAAUAUCAAACAAAGAGUUCAAGAUAAAUACAUUCAAACAAGUGACUUCUACACAGUGUGAAGAUGUCGUCAAGGAUUUUGAAAAACCUGACAAUGAUGAUAUCAUGUUUUGAGACAUUGAAAUACCGGCUGACGAUGUUAUGAUAAACAAUGAAAUUCCCGUUAAUGAAAGGGUACAGGAAAAUGAUAAGAAAACACCUGUAGAUGGUCCAGUGACCGAAAAUGAAAUACCGGCUGACGAAGUUGUGGUAAAUAAUCAAAUUCCAGUUGAUGGCCCAGUGGCCGAAAAUGAAAUACCCGUAGAUGUUGAAAAAAAUGACAGGGCUAACACAGUCCAAGAACAUGAAACAGCGGCGGAAAUGUUUGCAAAUGCAAAAUUCAGCGAAGACGUUAUAGGUAUUGAUGAGGAGUUGGCUGAGACCUAGAAAAAGAGGGUCUUGGAGAAAGAAUAUAUUCAGAAAAUGAAAAACCAAGCAUCAGAUCUGAAGAAAUAUAGCGUGAUAGACGAUAUUCCAUAAUUACUGGAAAAAAGAAAUUAUCGAAAUCGCACAAUCAAAAAAAACGCAGUAAAGAUGACAAUACUAAAAAACAGGGGGUAGUAUUGCCCACUCAAGCCAUAAAACACGGGCGAAAAAUAAUAUCAUUAGAUGAUGACAAUGGAGAAAAAGAACACAGUAAAGAUAUCAAUACUGAAAGACAGGUGCCAGUAUUACCCUCUACAAUGCAUAUAUUUGGGAAAUACGGUAAAAAAAUAAUUGCGGUAGAUGAAGAAGAUGACGUGGUUAUAUUGAGCCAAUCGUCAACGUCUUCGUCAUCAUCGUCAUCGGCUUCGUCCUCAGACCCUCCCACCAUUAUGAAUGAGAAUAAUGUUGCUGAAGAAUAUGACGAAGAACAUCAAUAUCGACCUGAAGCAGGGCCUUCAAAGCCCCGUGUCGAGAAACAAAAAAAUGAGCCUGUAGAUAUUACAGAUUUCUGCGUUGACUGCGCGGGAUAUCAAUGUCCGAAAAAAGCAGCCACACCACACCACCAGUUCUGUAAAGCCUGCCAUGAAAAAUGGCAGAUGGUUGAGCAACCGCAGUACCCACAACCCUUGCCUACAGAAAUACCAAACUCAAUUAUCGAAAAACGUCAGCAAUUAAUAAAUGAAAGAUUAACUUGUUUACAAGACGAAAUACGUGAGCUCAAAGAAACAUUGAGUAACGUAAAAUGCGAUCUCUGCGCUGGAGAACCAAUUGUGAAUGAAUUGGGUCAUUGUGAACGCUGUGCACAAUUACUAGAUUAAAUAAUAAAGUUAUUUGUAAAUAAAUAAAAUUGUUUUUAUGUCUUUUUUACAGGUAUUAUUGUAUAGAAAAAAAAAAUAAA